UACGUAGGGGGCGAGCGUUGUCCGGAAUCAUUGGGCGUAAAGGGUGCGUAGGCGGCUUGGCAAGUCCUGUGUGAAAGGUCGCGGCUUAACCGCGGUGGGUCAUGGGAAACUGCCAGGCUUGAGUGCCGGAGAGGAUAGCGGAAUUCCACGUGUAGCGGUGAAAUGCGUAGAUAUGUGGAGGAACACCAGUGGCGAAGGCGGCUAUCUGGAAGGUAACUGACGCUGAGGCACGACAGCUGGGGGAGCAAACAGG
rnacentral:rRNA from 1 species